rnacentral:rRNA from 1 species
AUACGGAGGAUCCGAGCGUUAUCCGGAUUUAUUGGGUUUAAAGGGUGCGUAGGCGGCCUUUUAAGUCAGCGGUGAAAGUCUGUGGCUCAACCAUAGAAUUGCCGUUGAAACUGGGAGGCUUGAGUAUGUUUGAGGCAGGCGGAAUGCGUGGGGUAGCGGGGAAAUGUUUAGAUAUUACGCAGAACCCCGAUUGCGAAGGCAGCCUGCCAAGCCAUGACUGACGCUGAUGCACGAAAGCGUGGGGAUCAAACAGGAUUAGAUACCCUGGUAGUCCACGCAGUAAACGAUGAUCACUAGCUGUUUGCGAUACAGUGUAAGCGGCACAGCGAAAGCGUUAAGUGAUCCACCUGGGGAGUACGCCGGCAACGGUGAAACUCAAAGGAAUUGACGGGG